UAAGCCCUGUGGGGAGGGAAGAAUAAGUCUUGGCUAAUAUCCAAGAUGAUGACGGUACCUCCUUAGCAAGCACCGGCUAACUCUGUGC
rnacentral:rRNA from 1 species